rnacentral:rRNA from 1 species
UUCAUACGUUUUGUUUAGAUUUUUACUGUUGUUUAUUUGUCUUUAUUUGGCGUUAAGAUUGAGGGGGAUUAGCUCCUUAUUUUAUUUUUAUAAUUUUUGUGUAUAUUUAGUUUUGUGGAUUUUAUAGUGAUUUUCAAUUUGAUUAUGUUAAAAUUUUAUUUAUUUCUUUUGUUAUUUUGGUUUAUUUAAUUAUUUAUUGGAAUGUUUUCUUUAUUUUUUAUUGGAUUGUAAUUAUUGUGGAAUUAGUAAAUUUGUUUGUUGUGUUGUUUAUAUUUCUGUUUAAUUUCUUUUGAGGAAUUAGGCAAAUUUUUGUGUCCGCCUGUUUAACAAAAACAUCUUUUCUUGUUAGUUUUUGAAGUAUGGCCUGCCCGCUGACAUUAAGUUGAAGGGCCGCGGUAUUUUGACCGUGCAAAGGUAGCAUAAUCAUUAGUUCUUUAAUUGUGAUCUGGAAUGAAUGGCUUGACGAGGCACGAGCUGUCUUAGUGUUGAAUAUUUUAUUGAAUUUGGUCUUUGAGUUAAAAUUCUUAGAUGUUUUUAUGGGACGAGAAGACCCUAUAGAGUUUGACAUAUUAGUUUAUUCAUUUAUUGGUUGUUUGUUUGAUUUAUUGGUGAGUGGGCUUUUUGUUUUGUUGGGGUGAUGAGAGGAAUGAUUUAACUCCUCUUGGUUUUGGUUAUAUUGAUUUAUAGUUGUUUGAUCCAUUUAUUUUGAUUAUAAGAUU